rnacentral:SRP_RNA from 1 species
GCUGGGCAUGGUGGCGGGUGCCCGUAAUCCCAGCUACUUGGGAGGCUGAGGCAGGAGAAUUGCUUGAACCCAGGAGGUGGAGGUUGCAGUGAGCUGAGAUCGCACCACUGCACUCCAGCCUGGGUGACAGAGUGAGACUCUGUCUCAA